rnacentral:rRNA from 1 species
CCUACGGGUGGCUGCAGUGAGGAAUAUUGGUCAAUGGACGAGAGUCUGAACCAGCCAAGUAGCGUGAAGGAUAACUGCCCUAUGGGUUGUAAACUUCUUUUAUAUGGGAAUAAAACGUUCCACGUGUGGGAUUUUGUAUGUACAAUAUGAAUAAGGAUCGGCUAACUCCGUGCCAGCAGCCUCGGUAAUACGGAGGAUCCGAGCGUUAUCCGGAUUUAUUGGGUUUAAAGGGAGCGUAGGUGGAUUGUUAAGUCAGUUGUGAAAGUUUGCGGCUCAACCGUAAAAUUGCAGUUGAAACUGGCAGUCUUGAGUACAGUAGAGGUGGGCGGAAUUCGUGGUGUAGCGGUGAAAUGCUUAGAUAUCACGAAGAACUCCGAUUGCGAAGGCAGUUCACUGGACUGCAACUGACACUGAGGCUCGAAAGUGUGGGUAUCAAACAGGAUUAGAUACCCGUGUAGUC